GCCUCUGUAGCUCAGUUGGUUAAGAGCGCUGCACCGGGAUCGCAGGGCCGUAGGUUCGAUUCCUACCAGAGGAC
rnacentral:tRNA from 1 species